rnacentral:rRNA from 1 species
GACGAACGCUGGCGGCGUGCCUAAUACAUGCAAGUUGAGCGCUGAAGGUUGGUACUUGUACCAACUGGAUGAGCAGCGAACGGGUGAGUAACGCGUGGGGAAUCUGCCUUUGAGCGGGGGACAACAUUUGGAAACGAAUGCUAAUACCGCAUAAAAACUUUAAACACAAGUUUUAAGUUUGAAAGAUGCAAUUGCAUCACUCAAAGAUGAUCCCGCGUUGUAUUAGCUAGUUGGUGAGGUAAAGGCUCACCAAGGCGAUGAUACAUAGCCGACCUGAGAGGGUGAUCGGCCACAUUGGGACUGAGACAUGGCCCAAACUCCUACGGGAGGCAGCAGUAGGGAAUCUUCGGCAAUGGACGAAAGUCUGACCGAGCAACGCCGCGUGAGUGAAGAAGGUUUUCGGAUCGUAAAACUCUGUUGGUAGAGAAGAACGUUGGUGAGAGUGGAAAGCUCAUCAAGUGACGGUAACUACCCAGAAAGGGACGGCUAACUACGUG